UACGGAGGGAGCUAGCGUUGUUCGGAAUUACUGGGCGUAAAGCGCACGUAGGCGGCUUUGUACGUUAGAGGUGAAAGCUCGGGGCUCAACUCCGGAACUGCCUUUAAAACGGCAUCGCUUGAAUCCAGGAGAGGUGAGUGGAAUUCCGAGUGUAGAGGUGAAAUUCGUAGAUAUUCGGAAGAACACCAGUGGCGAAGGCGGCUCACUGGACUGGUAUUGACGCUGAGGUGCGAAAGCGUGGGGAGCAAACAGG
rnacentral:rRNA from 1 species